rnacentral:rRNA from 1 species
UUGAAGAGUUUGAUCAUGGCUCAGAUUGAACGCUGGCGGCAGGCCUAACACAUGCAAGUCGAACGGUAACAGGAAGCAGCUUGCUGCUUUGCUGACGAGUGGCGGACGGGUGAGUAAUGUCUGGGAAACUGCCUGAUGGAGGGGGAUAACUACUGGAAACGGUAGCUAAUACCGCAUAACGUCGCAAGACCAAAGAGGGGGACCUUCGGGCCUCUUGCCAUCGGAUGUGCCCAGAUGGGAUUAGCUUGUUGGUGGGGUAACGGCUCACCAAGGCGACGAUCCCUAGCUGGUCUGAGAGGAUGACCAGCCACACUGGAACUGAGACACGGUCCAGACUCCUACGGGAGGCAGCAGUGGGGAAUAUUGCACAAUGGGCGCAAGCCUGAUGCAGCCAUGCCGCGUGUAUGAAGAAGGCCUUCGGGUUGUAAAGUACUUUCAGCGGGGAGGAAGGGAGUAAAGUUAAUACCUUUACUCAUUGACGUUACCCGCAGAAGAAGCACCGGCUAACUCCGUGCCAGCAGCCGCGGUAAUACGGAGGGUGCAAGCGUUAAUCGGAAUUACUGGGCGUAAAGCGCACGCAGGCGGUUUGUUAAGUCAGAUGUGAAAUCCCCGGGCUCAACCUGGGAACUGCAUCUGAUACUGGCAAGCUUGAGUCUCGUAGAGGGGGGUAGAAUUCCAGGUGUAGCGGUGAAAUGCGUAGAGAUCUGGAGGAAUACCGGUGGCGAAGGCGGCCCCCUGGACGAAGACUGACGCUCAGGUGCGAAAGCGUGGGGAGCAAACAGGAUUAGAUACCCUGGUAGUCCACGCCGUAAACGAUGUCGACUUGGAGGUUGUGCCCUUGAGGCGUGGCUUCCGGAGCUAACGCGUUAAGUCGACCGCCUGGGGAGUACGGCCGCAAGGUUAAAACUCAAAUGAAUUGACGGGGCCCGCACAAGCGGUGGAGCAUGUGGUUUAAUUCGAUGCAACGCGAAGAACCUUACCUGGUCUUGACAUCCACGGAAGUUUUCAGAGAUGAGAAUGUGCCUUCGGGAACCGUGAGACAGGUGCUGCAUGGCUGUCGUCAGCUCGUGUUGUGAAAUGUUGGGUUAAGUCCCGCAACGAGCGCAACCCUUAUCCUUUGUUGCCAGCGGUCCGGCCGGGAACUCAAAGGAGACUGCCAGUGAUAAACUGGAGGAAGGUGGGGAUGACGUCAAGUCAUCAUGGCCCUUACGACCAGGGCUACACACGUGCUACAAUGGCGCAUACAAAGAGAAGCGACCUCGCGAGAGCAAGCGGACCUCAUAAAGUGCGUCGUAGUCCGGAUUGGAGUCUGCAACUCGACUCCAUGAAGUCGGAAUCGCUAGUAAUCGUGGAUCAGAAUGCCACGGUGAAUACGUUCCCGGGCCUUGUACACACCGCCCGUCACACCAUGGGAGUGGGUUGCAAAAGAAGUAGGUAGCUUAACCUUCGGGAGGGCGCUUACCACUUUGUGAUUCAUGACUGGGGUGAAGUCGUAACAAGGUAACCGUAGGGGAACCUGCGGUUGGAUCACCUCCUU